rnacentral:rRNA from 1 species
AACGGCCGUACCAUGCUGAAUAUACCGGUUCUCGUUAGAUCACCGAAGUCAAGCAUCAUUGGGCGCGGUCAGUACUUGUGUGGGUGACCACCUGGGAACACCGCGUGCCGUU